AUGUGAGUUCAGCUGUGCUCCCAGCACAGAACUACAAGGCAAUAGGGACGAGGCUGGGGGCGGGGGUGGUUAAGUGGGUUUGAAAAUAUGAAGAGCUGGAAGGGCAUCUUGAAUUAUUGGCUACAUUAGCACAGAAUUUUCACGAACUCGUUGCCUUUGCCUGAUAAUGCGUGUGUCUGCCUGCGUCUUCCUCCAUGAAAACUGCAGGCUACCUCUGCCGUGGUUUUCGAGGCACACAGUUGGUGCCUAAUAAAUGCACACCAAAGGUUUGGCCUUCUUCUCUGGGCCUCCAGGUUACAACUCUGACCAGGAAUCACGUGAAGUCCUGGAGCCACAGUGUCCUCUAGUGGGGAAGACCGUCAUAACACCACACGGAGCUGACCAAACACAACAAGCCCGUUUCCCUAAAGCGCCCCGGAUCAGCGCCACAGCGCAGCCUCCAGCGCAGUUUCCCAAGCCUGUCUUCAUGACUCGGAAAUGACAAACAACACCUUCUCCAGGAAAGGCUCUUCUGAAUGCAUGACUCAGAGACAGCCACUGCAGCCACAUUUGUUCCUGAAAAUUCAUGAGGCAUCAGUCAAUUAAUGGGGUCGAGGAAAUGAUUCCAGGCUGCUAACAAUCUCACACACACACGCAAACCCCAGACGUUUGCUGCUUCCGACACAAGUACACAGCAUGACCUUGAGGUAUUCUUUAAAGGAAUCUCCACACCCAAUGCGGAGCUUAAACCCAUGACCCUGAGAUCAAGAGUCACAUGCUCUGCCGACUGAGCCAGCCAGGCACCGCAACCUAUGAUACAUUUUUUGCCACGGAACUGAACCUGAACCUCGUCAAAUCUCUGGACCUAACCACCAAUUUACAGGAACCAAAUUGACAGCUAACAAAUUAAUAAAUUUAUAGAGGAAUAUGUUGAACAGCACCAUGGGGAAUGCGAUCAGAAAAAUCCAGACUGUGGAAAGCUCUAUAGGAAAAAUGACCUGCUUUCUUCAGCAAUAAAUUGCCAAGAAGAGAGGAAAGAGAUGAACCUUUUUUGAGAUACUGAUUUAAAUAAAGUGAGGGGGUGGGGGGAAGCUUGUUUAGAUGAUUUGGGAACUCUAACCCUGUAUAUUUGAUUUUAAGAAAUUAUUCAUCAUUUUUGAAGUGUGAA